UCCGGCUUACCACCGGCGGUCCCACUAGAGUGCCCAACUAAAUGCUGGCAACUAAUGGCGAGGGUUGCGCUCGUUGCGGGACUUAACCCAACAUCUCACGACACGAGCUGACGACAGCCAUGCACCACCUGUCAUGGGCCCUUUCGGACACCGUAUCUCUACGGCUUUUCCCAUGAUGUCAAACCCAGGUAAGGUUCUUCGGGUCGCAUCGAAUUAAGCCGCAUGCUCCGCCGCUUGUGCGGGGACCCGUCAAUUCCUUUGAGUUUAAGCCUUGCGGCCGUACUCCCCAGGCGGUCAACUCCACGCGUUGGCUUCGUUACCAAGGAAUUACUUCCCCGACAACUAGUUGACAUCGUUUAGGGCGUGGACUAC
rnacentral:misc_RNA from 1 species